rnacentral:rRNA from 1 species
UACAGAGGGGGCAAGCGUUGUUCGGAAUUACUGGGCGUAAAGGGCGCGUAGGCGGCCUGUUAAGUCGAACGUGAAAUCCCCGGGCUCAACCCGGGAACUGCGUCCGAUACUGGCAGGCUUGAAUUCGGGAGAGGGAUGCGGAAUUCCAGGUGUAGCGGUGAAAUGCGUAGAUAUCUGGAGGAACACCGGUGGCGAAGGCGGCAUCCUGGACCGAGAUUGACGCCUGAUGCGCGAAAGCCAGGGGAGCAA